AGCAGCCGCGGUAAUUCCAGCUCCAAUAGCGUAUAUUAAAGUUGUUGCAGUUAAAAAGCUCGUAGUUGAAUUUCGGGGUCAGUAGGUUGGUCGUGCCACUGGUAUGCACUGGUCUCACUGAUUCCUCCUUCCUGAUGAGCCGUAAUGCCAUUAAUUUGGUGUUGCGGGGAAUCUGGACUGUUACUUUGAAAUAAUUAGAGUGUUUAAAGCAGGCUAACGCUUGAAUACAUUAGCAUGGAAUAAUGAAAUAGGACGAUCGAUCCUAUUUUGUUGGUUUCUAGGAUUGACGUAAUGAUUAAUAGGGAUAGUUGGGGGCAUUAGUAUUCAAUUGUCAGAGGUGAAAUUCUUGGAUUUAUUGAAGACUAACUACUGCGAAAGCAUUUGCCAAGGAUGUUUUCAUUAAUCAAGAACGAAAGUUAGGGGAUCGAAGACGAUCAGAUACCGUCGUAGUCUUAACCAUAAACUAUAGCCGAC
rnacentral:rRNA from 1 species